rnacentral:lncRNA from 1 species
UGCACUCUUCACUACAAUGCUUCAAAGUAGGGGUCUAGGGUAAGAGCUUAAGUGGAAAUAAAGGAUCAAGUAGCAAAGAGAGCUUGUUUGACUAAGUCUAUUUGCUUGAGGACAAGCAAAGGGCUAGGUGUGGGGGUAUUUGAUAGAGCCAAAUUUAGACCCAUUUUCUAUAUUGUUAUUUAUGUUAAUUUACACAUUUUCUGCCUAAUUUUAUGGUUUUGAUCUUAUUUUGCAGAAAAUGGUGUAAAAGAGCAAUUUGGUAAAAAUGGCCUUAAAACUGCCCAAAAGAGAGCAAAAGAGAACAAGCUGGUUUGCUCAAGUCCGUUUGCCCAAAUCCAAGUUAAAGCUGAAAUGGGAGAAGAAUAAUCUGUUGUUUUACCAGACUGUUUGCCCAAACAGACUGGGCAAACAGGACAGAAGCAAUGCACAGACAGAAGGGAAGACAGACUGUUUGCCC